CUUAGGCGCCAAGAGAUACGGCGAGUUCUUAUUCUUAAAACUAACUGCGCAUCCUUCAUUGCGGGAGCGCAGGCUUUACAGGGCCGCGCUGCGCUACUUGCGGUUGCCUUGGCUCUUUGUGGGAACCUAUGUGGGUUCCCGCUCCUUGUUUGUGUUUAUCCUGGAUACAAAGUUCUGUUCUGACAAGUCCCUCAGUUUGUGCAGCAAAGCGAGAGAAUGGGGGUUGAAACAGUGCCAAACACAAGCUGUGGCCAUGGUUUCCUCACACAAAGUGCCGGGCUAGGCUGUGCCCUCAGGAAUACUAGGGAUUUAGGUUUUGCCAUAUUUAUUGGCAGAAAUGGCGGCCUGCCUACCCGCGUCAAGUUCCUUCCAUGGGCGCAAUUCUACAGGCUGCAGCAGGUACGGUGGCCCCAGAGGCUUGUCGGGGGCCCAGGGAAAUGUGAUUGCCCCGGUGGUGCUGGGGGACGUUACAAGGACACAAAUGAAUAAAGAUGUCGGUGCCAAAGCAG